CGCUGCGGCGGGCCUGUGUUAUCUGUAAUUACUCCUGUCUGCAGAAGGGGAAGGAACUUUUUUCCGUGUGGGUGGCAGAGCACUGUGACAGGCUGCCCAGGGACAGCGUGGGGUCUCUCUCUCUGGACACAUUCAAACCCCACCUGGACACGUUCCUGAGUCACCUGCUCCCGAUGACCUUGCCUUGGCCGGGCGUGGGACUGAGCCAUCUCCAGAAGCCGCUUCCAGCCCUAACUACUCUGUGAUUGCAUGAUUGAACACAUUUGAAUUUUAAAUUGGUAGGUGCCCUUGAGGAAGCCUUACUCCUUACGCUUUGGAAAAGUCUGUCCCUCGAGGCUCACCCUAAUUUGGGGAAACGCAGGCUUCCCAAGGGAUCACCUCGAACAGACCACCACGAGUUCUAAUGGCACAUCAGACUCCAGCUCUCACAGCAUGGUAGCCACCCCAUUAUGAGGCUCUGUUUUGAAGAUUUCCCUAGAUUGAUGUCCUGUAAGGUAAUCAUAUUAGAGGGAUUCUCCUCUGCAACGUCAGGUGCUGGAAUUGGAUUCAAGUCAUAAUCACUGAACAUACUAGAGACUUAGGCAUGUAUUCCACUGAAUGAGGAUGCAUUUGGGAAAGGUUUAAGGGCCAUUUUGAAAGCAUCUCUGUGGACUUGUUAUCAUUGACAGAUACAGCAAAGCUGAAUGAGUAGUAAUAGCUGGCAAGCUUCUCCCAACAGCAAACCAAAACUCUUGCAGUUUUGUCAGUACUGCUGGAAUGCAGGGAGCUGGCUCUCAAUCUAUUGAUGCUGUCUUAUAAAUGCCUAUAAAUAUAUUAUGGAGUCUGGGAAACCCCUGAAGCUAUCUCUUGUUUAAAAAAAAUAAAUUAUUAUGUCAGUAUUUUUGGGAUUAGAGCAGAUGAGAUCCACUAUGUGUUUUAGAGAAAACUGCACACCUCUUGCUAAUAAUUAUAGUUUCACAUACUUAUUGAAUAGUAGAGGAAAUGUAGUUUUUGCCCUCAGAUACAGUGUCAAGCAGAGAAAUAUUUUUAUCACAACACCAUUGCUGUCAACUUGUAGCAUGUAAUAAGAAUUAAGCAAAUUAUUUGCAUUAAGUAUACAGUGCUGAUUGCUUUGCAGUUAAAUGAAAUCAUCAGUCCUCAUGUUUGCCUUGGAACAUAUCCCAGAAUAGGAAGGCUAGCACUUAUCUACUAAUCUACUCAGAACAAGCUUAGAAGGCUUUGACACUGCUCAAAUGUCAGCUUGAAUAUCUCCCAUUUGUUUAUUACAUCUAGUUAGUGGGGUCAAUGUGGUAUGGUCAAAAGAAAGUUAUUUAAAUUUCAUGCUUGAAAGAAAAUCUCAGAAGACUGGAAUUUAGAUUUCUAACUAUUUUCUAACAUGAUUAGGUUGCUUUCUUCUCUGCACUUGUUUCUGAAGCAACUCUUAAUUACUAAUUAAUCUCCAACAGUCAGAUGCUCCUCUGGCAUAUAGAAUGAAGGACAGCAGCAGAGUAAAACAGAGUGGAAAUGUAACACCUUGCUUAGGAAUUUUCUGACUAAACUUGGUGCAGGUUAAUGAUUCUGCAGGUUAAUUGCAAGUGUUCUCUGUCUCUUUGACGUCUAGGGUUUCCAUGGCAUUCAUGGCAGCUCUUGCAGUUAUUACAAUUACCUAAAAUAUUAACAGAUACAUAAAGAGAGGUUAAUCCUGAAUUUAAUGAUUCCAGAAACUUGUCCCUACAGUUUCCAACCUUUGCGUUCAGUUACAGAAGAUGUUAAGGAAAACAGCUGUGCAACACACACGCCCUGCAGAGGAAAAUUCAGCAGCAGUGCAGCUUGCUGAGAGCAGUUUGCAUAGGAACGGGAGGAAGGACAGAAGGCAGAGACUUACUGGGCUGAAAUGAGAUUGAUUUGACCUGUACAUUCCCAAAAUUAGUGAAUUUCUCCACUCCUUCAGAAGUGAACAAAACUUUAUACUGCAACAGAAAUGCUGUCCUCUUAAACUCUAGUGUGAUCAUUUAAUUACAUAAUUUUGGGGUUUUUAACUGUAGCUAGAGGAUACAGAACAUUUUCUAGCUUAGUUCUUUCCAUGUAGAGCUGGUAGGCUUACAGGUGAUAAGGAGCAAUGGAGUGGCUGAAGGAGUAUUGGGCUUUGUGCGUUAUUUUUGCAAUUGAUUUUGCAUCACACUAUUGCAAAAAAAUUUUAGAAUACUCAAACAUGUUCCAUUAGUUAAGGCUCUAGCCAUGUGAUUUUUUGCAAAACUUAAAAUGCCAUGCAUGUUAAACCUGAAAGCCCUUCAAUGUCUGGUAACAUGAAUGUGGAAACUAUUGCUUCAGUAACUCAAGCACGUCACUGCCUUUUUCAGCUGGACCCCCUGAAUGGCAGGCAAUGACAGUGCAGUACCAGUUUAAGGUACUGGCUUAUCUGGAGCUGGCCCACAUACACUUUUACACUUCAGUUCUUAACCAUUGCUUUCCUUUUAACCAUUGGUCAUGUCAUCCUAAGCACUGGCAUCAAAUGCACCCAGAUGUUGGCAUCUCUGUGUUCAAGGUGCAGGCACUUCAUCAGCAGCUUGGUCUCUAAGUACUUGUAAAACACUGCCUAAAAGUAUUUAAAAAUUCCAUGUCACAAUUAUUUUCAAUAAAUUUGUUUCAAUAUAGGUUGAGGCCCUGUGAAAAACAAGAACAUAUGGCAGGCAUAACCAGGAACCAGAUCCUAAUACAAACAUAUUGGGAAAGCACAGUUAAGAUAGAAUAUUAAAACCUCAGAUUAAAAUCAGCAAUUAAGUAGCAUCUGAAUCAAUCUGCCUAUGUUCAUGUUUUAUUUCACUUACAUAGACUUCUUGUGAGAAUUGAAAAUACACUGGUCCGGCUGCCCUUGUUUCAGCAGCUGUCACUGCAUUUUAGAUCACUCAUUUGAAGGCCAUUAAUUUACUGCAAGGUAAAUUGUGAAACAUAGUAAGCAUUAGCAAAAUGAUAAUGUUUAAGCAUAGUGCUCAGAAGACCCAAUUAAGGAAUCCAUUAGGAGGGCAAAUAAUUAUGUAUAGCAUUGCAUAACACAAUGUACUUUGCGUAUCUGUGUUCUCUGAUGCAUACAAGAGAUCAAGCACUAGUCAUCUAUUUCAGACUGAAUUUAUGUCAAAGAGUACCUUUGAGAUCUGGAGCAUAUGCAAAAUUGCCCAAGAUAACUAUCAGUGAUAGCAAAAACACUUGAGCCUUUAAGAUGCAGAAAAUUAUUUGCAUUGUUCCACACAGGUACUACUGUGCUGAAAUUGCCUCUUAGAAGAUACAAGGUUUUUAAAGCCUUCCUUCUCCCUGAUACCUCCCCAUAUUUCUCUAUUUCCCAGAUAUCCUUAUCCUCUUGCUUCACAUCCGUAUAGUAAUGCUGUCUGUGUAUCUCCACACAGUGCAAAGAUUAUUAAUCACCUGUGUUUACACUUGGAGGCAAAUCUGUGUUCAAGGGAAUACCUGAUGAGCCACAUCAUGAUGUUAAUCAGGCCAGUAGCAUAACAUUGCUAAGAGAUUAAAAAAAAACCUAUAAAGCUUUAAGCAAUUCUCAUUGUCUCAUUUGUAUUUGAGAUAAAUUUGAACAUUAAGGAAUAGUCUUGUCUUUUUUUUUCCCUAAUUACUGAAAUCAGAAGAAGCUUGUGUUCAUAUAAUUUUAUUGAAAUACAAUGAUCUCUCAGAAGAACUUGCAAAAAAUUAAAGGAUGUUCACCCCAGAAAUGUACUUGCACAAUAUUUACUAUAGAAAUAUGUACACCUACAAGAAAUAAGCAUUCCCAGGUUGUUUUUUUUCCUCCUUCAUAAAUGUUAGUAAUGGUAAAGUUAGGUGUCAAAAAGCUUUAGCAUACAAAACUGUAAAAUUUUGCCCAGUUAUGUCCUUAAAAUUGCUAUCAGAAAACCAAGCUGCUUUUCAUUAUCAGAAAGAGGAACUACUGUAAAAACUACCAGUGAAUUCAGAAAUACUGUUUAAGUAGAGUAGGGCUACUAAAAUUACAAAAAAUAUGGUUUAUUACAAUUAUUCUUGAUUCUAUGCUAUACUCUUUCCAGUAUGGACCAUUAUGUGUUUGCUGCUAAAGACAUUGUAAUGCUAGGUAGAUUUCUAAAACUAAAGAUUGGAUCUAGUCAGAGACUGAAAUAUAAAACUAAUUGAAUGCAAUUAAUUAGUAUUCCUUUAGCUGCCUUCUGUGCACAUAGGAAAUAUUUCUUGUUUUACUUGCUGAACACAAUUUAAUAUACUUAAUAUAUUUUUUAAAAUACCUACAGCACUUUAUAAAUUGGGGUGCUACAAAAAUCCAUGGUUGUGGGGCCAGUUGUAGUAGAAAUCAUCAACAGUGGCAAAGAAAUCUUUGCUGGCAUGAUGACUCACUCAGCUGUCAUUCUGGGCUUUUCCUCACCUCACCCGGGAGGUGGGACAGUGUCACUUUCUGGUCAGCUGGCGCCACAGUGAGAGCAGUUUGACACUGAGCUCCCAGCAAAGACUUGACCGGGUGUUAAACUAGAGAAACAAGCACUGAUAUUUUGUAUAGCCACAAUUUUCGAAGUAAACCCCAAAAUGCCUGGGUGAUGAAGCUUCCAGGGGAUUUUCCCUGCAGCCUGGACAGACCAGCCUGGGCUGCAAGCCUCACUGCUCUUGGGUGGCUCCUCUGAAGCCAAUGCAGCUGCACUGAGGAAAAAUGAGACAGCAGUUGGGAAUUCAUUGCAAGAGGAGGAACUGGAAGGCCCUAUUUGAAGAGAUGUGUAAAACACACCAUUAAUCUUUUCUAUUUUACGUGUGCUGGAGCUCUUGCCACAGACUCCUCUGGGAACACAGGCAGUGUUGGGUAGCUGGGUAGCUGGAGCCCAGAGAUGUCCUACCUCAUCUAGUGAUCUGGCAAUGCUAAAGGUUGUGUUGAGGCCAUUUUUGGCUCUUAAGAAAAUUUUGAAAUACUGAAGUUUUGAAAUACUAAAUCUGCUCGUACUAAAUCUCAAGUUUGAGUUUUGUGCCUACUGUAAACUAAGUUAGCAAACUUUUCAAGUGGGAGGAAAAUUAACCAGCAAAACCAACACACUCCUUUAUAUGUACCAGACAUGCAUUCACUGCAGCAUUUGUUCCUUAAGUAUGUAUUUGCUGAGUUUUUAUACUAGUAAUGAUAUCUUUUCCAUGUAAGUCAUGUUACACAGGUGACAAGAAAGAGUUAGUACAGAUACUUCAUGAGUACUGGACAGGACACUACUGUUGAUUAAUUUUGCAUGUGAAUGUGUAUUGUAAAGAAAGUUUUCUCAGCCACUCUCCUAUGGUUUUGAUUCCAGAUUUCACAGCAGUUAGUCCUUCCACAACAGCAUGAUUGAGGUCUCAAUAAAAAAUGAUUUGAACUUACUGUGUGGUAAAUAUGAGUAAGAAUAUGUUUGUGUAUACAGAAGAAGCAGGUUUUCAGCUGAAUUCAGCAUCAAUAAUUUUCUGGUGACAUGUACAUAUGGGGGCAAAAAUUAAGUGUGUGUAUCCUAGGCUGCCUCAUACAGGCCACAGAAAUUUUGCUGGCUUGUAAGUUAACUGCUUUCUUCUGCAGGUCGUUGCAUAGAUGGACACCAUGCCCAGGAAAAGCACCAAUUUGGGGCUCUUGUAUCUGCUUUUGAUGCAACACUUGAGGCGUGUCAGUACAUUUGCUGUAAAACAGGAAAGAAAAAAAAAAAAAAGCAACAGAAAAAGAGCAUGUCAGCCCCAGGUGAUUUAUGGCCUGAUUCACAGUGCCCUGAAUUCAUCAGCCAGAAGCCUGCUAUGUUUUUCAGCAGACUUUGGCUCAGAUGGGUGCACUUUAAACUUCCAAACCGCAGACAGUGCAGCAGCAAGCUGGGGCAGAUGGAAAGUGGCCGUCACAGCCGGGAUGAUUCAGGGAGCAGAUGGGCUCUGCCGGCUUUGUUUGGAGAAGGGAGCGGGAACAUCCAGAGCUGACAUCCAGCGGGAGGAUCGCCUUUGCUCUACAUGGAUGGCAUGAAUGGAGAUACUAGGGUGAGAACAAAAAGAGAGAGAGAGGAAGGGAGCGGUCCGAGAGGAAGGCUGGGUGGAAUGUGCGGAAUUAGCACAGGGUGGAGCAAGAGGCAGGAGAAAAAAACAGAGGCACACUUUGGGGUUAUGCAAUUUGGCAGGUCUUAACCCCUGACACA